GGCUGUCCUGCCGCUGCUAUGUGGGCCAGUUUGGCCCCUGGCACUUCAUGAGCUGGCACCGUCACCAGACAAAAGGUCCUAAGCUUUGGGGAGUCCCAGAAGUGGACACAUGGGUUUACUUCCUCUCGGGUCUCACGGAAUCGCUUCCCUCUUGACGGAUUCCGAAGCCUGCCCGGUACAAGUGGCUCCUGCUUGGGACUCACAGGGCUAAUCCAGCCCUUCUGAUCUAAUCCGGAUCAGGACCUCGUCCCGGGGGAUGCCCCCACCUUCUAUUGUUCUGGGGCCCAGGUGCACCCCCAGACUGAUGGUGGCAGUCAGAGGCGACGAAAAAAGCUCGGGCUGAUGGCCCUGUCUGGAAUCCCUGGAGAACUCUGACCAGGGAGGUCCUGGGUCCUCUCUCUGAAGGGCCGCAAUGGCGGUGAGUCCCACAAGGCCGCCCAGCCCGCAGCUCGCUAAAGAUAGAUCUUCACUUCCUGGGGAAAACCCACCCCAACCGUCUUCAUGGAGGGAGAGUAGCUAAAAUCACCAACUUGCUGGUGGGUCCCAGCCCUGCUAGCAGCUGAACCCACACCACAGCAU
ensembl:lincRNA 4833445I07Rik RIKEN cDNA 4833445I07 gene